UCAGCAGAGUCACAUUGAAAAUCCACUCCCAACUCCCCACUCAGCCUGAGAGCCAUUCUGAGGUCUGUUUUCCAGGAUCACACGGCUGCCUCCAAACCCUGUGCAGGAAGCGCACUGCAAAUUAUUCGUUUUGAAGAUCGGAUAAUACGGUGUUGGGGGCAUACCACUCUGCACACGUGGAGGUCAGAGGGCAAAUUGCCAGAGUCAGCUCUCUCAUUUUCCUUGGAGUCUGGAAAAUGAAACGCAGGUCAUCAGAGGGACCAUUGAGCCAUCUUCUCAUCAGUAUCUUUUUAACUGAGAACGUGGUGGGAGGUAUUUGAGUGUCAGCGGAGACUCAGGCACACACGGGAUAGGAGGAGUGAGCUUCGCGGAGCCUCCGAGCACUCUGAGCCUCUGAGCACCGUCUGUCCAGUGAUACUCAGAGCCUGGUAAGCGUGGAAGAUACUACUGUGGAAGCAACCUCUGCUCUGUAGCAAUGUCAGAUGCGAUCAGGGCUGUGGCCCUGAGAGAUAACUGACCUGACAGAAAGGAUUCGCUCCUCAGGCAGCAAGUGGACAUCCAUCGGUAGCAAGGCGAUCCGGGCUUCUCAGAGCAGGCAGCAGACCACCAGCUGUGCCCUGAGAACUUCAUCCCAGCCAGUGGGCUCUGGUGACAGAGAGCUCGCUGGGAAGAGAUGGAUUUGAAUCGGAGCAGCGAUUUAAAUCUGAGCUUAGAGAAGCUAAGGAGUCCGUCUGCAGUCACGUGACACUUUGAUAAGAACAUCACAGCAUGAGGACGCAGCACCUAGAGACCAGCCCCUGCAUAUUUAUAGUGAUAAUUCCUAAAGUUUUGACACUGCUGGGGGUCAAAGGAGAAUAAUCUCCAGGCACUGUGGUGGGCAUUUUCCUCAGAAGCCUUCUAGAAAAACUGACAAAAUUUUCUCACUGUGAUCCCAACAAUUGUCUGUAUAUGUUACCUGACUAUAAAGCAACAUUCAAGCC